AGCGAACGCUGGCGGCAGGCCUAACACAUGCAAGUCGAGCGCCCAGCAAUGGGAGCGGCAGACGGGUGAGUAACGCGUGGGGAUCUGCCCGAUGGUACGGAAUAAUUCCGGGAAACUGGGACUAAUACCGUAUGUGCCCGCAAGGGGAAAGAUUUAUCGCCAUCGGAUGAACCCGCGUCGGAUUAGCUAGUUGGUGUGGUAAAGGCGCACCAAGGCGACGAUCCGUAGCUGGUCUGAGAGGAUGAUCAGCCACACUGGGACUGAGACACGGCCCAGACUCCUACGGGAGGCAGCAGUGGGGAAUAUUGGACAAUGGGCGCAAGCCUGAUCCAGCCAUGCCGCGUGAGUGAUGAAGGCCUUAGGGUUGUAAAGCUCUUUCGCCGGUGAAGAUAAUGACGGUAACCGGAGAAGAAGCCCCGGCUAACUUCGUGCCAGCCGCCGCAGUAA
rnacentral:rRNA from 1 species